UUGAAGAAGGCCCAUAGCUCAGUGGUAGAACAUCUGCUUUGCGUGCAGAAGGCCUCAGCUUCAAUCCCUGGCAUUUUCAAG